GGGGAGCACGGGGAGAUGCUGCCGGGAUGCGGGAUGCGGCGGCGGUCGGGCCGGGUCCCCCCUCGGGGCGGGGAGAUAAGGAGGUUAGAGAAGAGGGGGGAGGUGAAAGGAGGGGGUUCACAGCCGGGAAGGUGAGAGACAGCGAUGCUCUCUCCUGUGGCCUGGAGCAAAAACCUUUGUCCCGCAGGUUUAACUAACAGAUUCCCCCGGCUGAACCCCUGCGCUGGGCCGAAUUUAGCAGCAGAAGAGAUAACCAAGAGAUAAGGACUGAUACCCUGGGAGGACAGCGGGAGACGGGCAGGCGGCCGAGGAAAGGGAGAGAAGCCGGAGACAGCGUUGGGAAGGGCUGCCUAUCCAGAUAUACCGGGUUUUGGAGACCCAUCUUUCCCUCUUUUGCAAAAUCCCUGACGAUUUUCUCUCCCAAAGCAGCGACUUGCUGAAGAUUCGUUGAAUUACUUCAGGAUAGAAGCGCUUUCCUUAAAAAAAAAAAAAAAAA